CUGAGUUGUCUCACAUAAUGCAAGCCUCUAAAAAGGAAGACAACUUCUCCUGAACACAACUAGAAACUUUCUCCUCACCCUGGUUAGAGUAUGCCCGGAGACUCAGGCUGAUUCUUUAUGAAGUCUGCUUUGUCCUUUAUGAGGCCACUGUAGAACAGCUAUGGACUAGGACUCACAUGGAAAGGGAGGAGAGGGAAUGGGUUGGCUAUACUGCUCCCCCACUGGGCUCACCUACAUUUCAGGGGUAUCCUGGGACUGAGGCAGAGGCUUUCACCUGGGGCAAUAUUAACACUCAGCAAAAUUAGGAAGGAGGAUGAAGGAAUCAGCAUGGUGGAGUGGAAAUAUGGUGCACAUUUAGUCAAAAAGAUUUGGAUCUGAAUUCAUAGCCGUGUGGCCUGGGGCAAGUUGUGAAGAGGGGAUGGUGCCAUCUGCUUUACAGACGGAGUCUCGCUUUGCCACCAGGCUGGAGUGCAGUGGCGCGAUCUCGACUGACUGCAAUCUCCACCUCCCGGGUUCAAGUGAUUCCCCUGCCUCAGCCCCCUGAGUUGCUGGGACUACAGGCACAUACCACCAUGCCCGGCUAAUUUUUUUGUAUUUUAGUAGAGACGGGGUUUCACCAUGUUGGCCAGGAUGGUCUCGAUAUUCUGACCUCAUGAUCCGCUUGCCUCGGCCUCCCAAAGUGCUGGGAUGCCAGGCAUAAGCCACCGCACCGGGUCGAGCAUCUUUAUUUUAAAUCUCACAUAAAGAUAGGUUUGGGGUUGGGUAAUCGGAGAAUGACAAUCAGAUUUACUUAGGCAAAAUUAAUAAAUUUUAAUCUGGG
rnacentral:lncRNA from 1 species